ACUACAUUUCCCAGCGACCGCGGCGCCAGGAGCGGAACCGGGAAGCGCGAAGAUGGCGGUGGAUAAGGAGCUGUUGGAGCGGGACCUCUACGGGCUGCUGGGGAUCGGCGAGAAGGCGUCCGAGAAGGAGGUGAAGACAGCGUUCCGGCAGAAGGCCCUGACCUGCCACCCGGACAAGAACCCGGACAACCCCCGGGCAGCGGAAAUCUUCCACCAGCUGUCCCAGGCCUUGGCCGUGCUCACAGAUGCAGCAGCCAGGGCAGCCUAUGACAGGGUGAGGAGGGCGAAGAAGGAGGCUGCAGCAAGGACACAGAAACUCGAUGAGAAGAGGAAGAAAGUAAAGCUUGAUCUUGAAGCCAGAGAACGAGAAGCCCAGUCCCAGGAGAACGAAGAGGAGGAGAUCAGGAUAACAAGAUCAUUAGAAGAAGAAAUAAUCCGCCUGCGUGAGGAGGGCUCCCGGCAGCUGGAGGAGCAGCAGAGGCUCGUCAGGGAGCAGAUCCGCCUGGAAAGGGAGCAGCACAGCCGAGGCAAGCAGGAAAGAAAUGGGGCAGAAGGCAAAAUAACUCCUAAGCUCAAGCUCAGGUGGAAAUGCAGGAAGGAAGAUGAGACAGGAGGGGGAUACUCCAAAGAUGUGCUGCUGCAGAUCCUGCAAAAGUAUGGUGAUGUGCUCAAUUUGUUGAUCUCCAGCAGGAAGACUGGGAGUGCAGUGGUGGAAUUUGCCACGGUGAAGGCAGCUGAGAUGGCUGUGAAGAAUGAAGUUGGCCUGUUAAAUAACCCCCUGAAGAUUUCCUGGCUGGAGGGCCAGCCCCAGAGCCGCCCCAGCACCGUCCUCCCUGACAGCACCAGCCAUUCCAGGACCUCACAGCUGGGAGCUCAGUGCAUGCGUGAGGCAGCAGUGUCAGAGACAUCUCUUCUCCUGCCAGAAGGAUAAAUCCACUGCUGGUGCUGUAUCAGCAGCCUACUUGGAUGCUUACCUGCUUCCAGGCUGGGAAUGCCACCUGCACUGGAGUUGAGGGAAAAGAAACCCACAAGGAGGAAGAGAAAAAACGGAGGAACAGCUUUGAGCUUUCACAUCCAAACGUGGUGGGAGGAGAAGCCCCAGUUCCCGUCUCUCAGCCCUCAAAGCUUUGGCUUUGGGGUGCAGUGCUGCUGCCUCCUUGCAGGCUGCCUGCUGUUCCACAAGUGAUCCAUGACAAAUCCCUGUGUCUCUACCCCACAGUGUCACAUCCCCAAAAUAAGUCCCAAAAAAUGCCAGUCUUCCCUGAGGAGGGGAUGUGCAGUCCGGAGUGGGAAAUUCCCGGGGUGGAGAGUGGAAAGUUGCCCAUGAGACAGAAGACUGUGUUCUCACCUGAACACGGAGCCCAUGAGCUCUGCUCCAGAGGAAUCCUUGGCAAGGACAGGGAUGGUCUGUGGUGGGCGAGCACAUCCUCGAGGAGCGAUAGCCCCAAAUCCACUUUGAAGGACAGGAAGGGGUCAGCCAGGUCGGGAAGAGUGGUGCUGUUUGGGAGACCUGCCUCUGAGGUGCCACGGUCUGUAGCCUGGUCCUUGUGCGUUGGAGUGGCUUUGUGGUACGGAGCAGCGUCGGAAAAGGAGAGGUCAGAGUGGGAAUCUGUGCGAUCGAUGAUGUUGGGGCAGCUGGAACUGUCCAGGUACAGCCGGGGAGGCUUGGGAGGGGCUUGUGCCUUGGCCAGGUUCUGCUCGCUCUGACAGGACAGGUACUCAGACUUGUCCUUCAGAUCCCUCAAGCAUUCCCUCUUCUGGCCAUCUGUGUCCAGAGUGUGGCUGUUCUGGUUCAGGAUGAUGACUUGGUUGCCCAGCUUUUUGUGCCUCCUGAGGGAGAAGCGUCGGAAGAAGGUGGUGGACUUGAUGGACCCCCUGCGCCAAGUAUCCAUGCUGAGGAAAGGCA